rnacentral:rRNA from 1 species
AGCCCUGGAAACGGGGUCUAAUACCGGAUACUGACCCUCGCAGGAUCUGCGAGGUUCGAAAGCUCCGCGGUGAAGGAUGAGCCCGCGGCCUAUCAGCUUGUUGGUGAGGUAAUGGCUCACCAAGGCGACGACGGGUAGCCGGCCUGAGAGGGCGACCGGCCACACUGGGACUGAGACACGGCCAGACUCCUACGGGAGGCAGCAGUGGGGAAUAUUGCACAAUGGGCGAAAGCCUGAUGCACCCACGCCGCGUGAGGGAUGAGGCCUUCGGGUUGUAAACCUCUUUCAGCAGGGAAGAAGCGAAAGUGACGGUACCGCAGAAGAAGCGCCGGCUAACUACGUGCCAGCAGCCGCGGUAAUACGUAGGGCGCAAGCGUUGUCCGGAAUUAUUGGGCGUAAAGAGCUCGCAGGCGGCUUGUCACCUCGGUUGUGAAAGCCCGGGGCUUAACCNCGGGUCUGCAUUCUACACCGGCAGGCUAGAGUUCGGUAGGGUACAUCGGAAUUUCUGCUGUAGCGGUGAAA